GAUUAUGCACAAUUUGAGGAAAGGAGCUGCUGUGGGAUGGUACUGUAACAGAAAGUUCCAGGUAAAAGACAGCCUUUUUCAUUUAUUAUAAAUGGGUAUGAACAUGCACAUUUACUAGAGCAACAAAGAGUCUCGAUUUUUAUAGGCAUGCAGAUUUUAAAGAAAGAAAACUGGGGUGUAAAGAAAGAAGAAGAUUUUCCAUCAAAUAAUGGUGGAUGACACAAAGUUCUUCCUAUGAAUGAUGUCAUAACCCACUUUGAAAAAAGGUGGUUGGAGAGAAAAGGAUCUGAAGAGAGAGAAAGAAUUGUUUAUAUUCAAAUGGAUUUAUAGACUGUUAGACCUUUUGCUAUCACUUAAUUCUGUACUAUUAGUUCCACAACACUGAGCCUAUAAGCUUUUGACUUGAUGGUUUAUCUAAUUUGAGAGAGCAUAGUCCAGUUUUUAGGCAUUUCAAGAUUAGCAAUGCAGAAUAUGUACACAUGUAAUGGCAGAUAAAAAUCCAACACAAACAGGACACUGAUAAGACUGGAAUUUAGAGAUAUUUCAUGUCUCUCUUGUGUGAAUUGAAAAAAAAGUUUAUGCCAGAAAAAAUAUAAUAAAAUAAUAACUUGAAUCUUGUUUUGUGCUUAUAUUUUUAAGCCCCCAUAAAUGAAGUUUCGGGGUAUAUAGUUUUUGUCGUGUCCGUCUAGCUGUUUCUCCGCAAAAACUUUAACCUUGCCCAUACUUUUGAUUUAGUGGAGCUAUGACUUUCAUAUUUCACAUAUGUAUUUCUUGUGUUAAGACCUUUCAUUGAAUACUAUCAACUUUGACUUUUGACCUUGGAGAUUUACAUACUAAUGAAAAAACUUUAACCUUGGCAAUAACUUUUGAAGAGUAAGGGCUAGGGCUUUUAUACUUCACAUAUGUAAUUCUU